CUGGAUAAGCCUGGGAAACUGGGUCUAAUACCGGAUAGGAGCCAUUUUUAGUGUGAUGGUUGGAAAGUUUUUUCGGUGCAAGAUGAGCUCGCGGCCUAUCAGCUUGUUGGUGGGGUAAUGGCCUACCAAGGCGUCGACGGGUAGCCGGCCUGAGAGGGUGUACGGCCACAUUGGGACUGAGAUACGGCCCAG
rnacentral:rRNA from 1 species